rnacentral:rRNA from 1 species
UACGAAGGGUGCUAGCGUUGUUCGGAAUUACUGGGCGUAAAGCGCGCGUAGGCGGCUUUUCAAGUCAGGGGUGAAAUCCCACAGCUCAACUGUGGAAUUGCCUUUGAAACUGUAAAGCUUGAGUGUCGGAGGGGAUAGCGGAAUUGCUAAUGUAGAGGUGAAAUUCGUAGAUAUUAGCAGGAACACCGGUGGCGAAGGCGGCUAUCUGGACGACAACUGACGCUGAGGCGCGAAAGCGUGGGGAUCAAACAGGA